rnacentral:lncRNA from 1 species
UUCUUUCCCCCAAAGGCUAAGACCAGAUGAAGCAAGAUCUCCAGCACCGUCUUCUACAUCUCUAAAAAGUGACCAGUCACUAGAUAGGCCAAUACUAUUUAAAGAUGGUACACAGAUUAUAAGGAGGAGUAAAAGGCUGAGACCAAAUAAAGCAACAUCUCCUGCACCGUCCAGCACAUCUCUGAGAAGUGACCAGUCACUGGAUCGACCGAUACUGUUCAAAGAUGAAGCACCAAGUAUGAGGCUGAAAUCAAAAGGCACAACAUCUCCAGCCCCUUCAUGCACAUCUCUGAAAAGUGACCAGUCACUGGAUCGACCGAUAUUCUUCAAAGCAAGGUUAUUUUCGUAAAACGAAAACGAAAACUAAGAUGAAAACGAU